rnacentral:rRNA from 1 species
UACGUAGGGUGCAAGCGUUAAUCGGAAUUACUGGGCGUAAAGCGUGCGCAGGCGGUUUUGUAAGUCUGUCGUGAAAUCCCCGGGCUCAACCUGGGAAUUGCGAUGGAGACUGCAAGGCUAGAAUCUGGCAGAGGGGGGGUAGAAUUCCACGUGUAGCAGCGAAAAUGCGUAGAGAUGUGGAGGAACACCGAUGGCGAAGGCAGCCCCCUGGGUCAAGAUUGACGCUCAUGCACGAAAGCGUGGGGAGCAAACGAGG